GUGCUCGGCUGAGAUUUGAACCCAUGACUCUUGUAUGCUAGACGAGCGCUUUACCAACUAACCUACCGAGCC
rnacentral:tRNA from 1 species